rnacentral:lncRNA from 1 species
AAAUCCUCAAAUAAGAAAAGGAGCUAAAAAGAAAGAUGACCCAAGUGAGGAUAUGAAAACUUCAAAAGAGUAUUUGACAUAAUUGAGUUUUAAGUUCCAGAAGAACUUCUCANNNAUUAUGUCAUGAAUGAAAAUUAUGUCACGAAUGGAAUAUGAUGGAACCGAAAGGAAGUCAACGUUGACGAUAUUUUAUAUAUAAUAUGGCGCUAUUUGUGAAAGGAGUUAAUGAGGAUCAUGAAAUAAAUUUUAUUGAGAAUUAUAGACAAUGAUUGUCUAAAUGAAAACGCAAUUGCUAUGUAAUUAAAGUCACUUUGCAAAGUGAAGAUUUUUGGACCAGCAGUCCAUACACCUGAAGAUGUAAAACAUGAUGAGAUACGAAUUAAUUUUCUUGUGAAUAGAAAAUGUUGCAAUACAAACAUUAAAAGCUUGAUUUUUUUUUAUUCAAGCAUAUUGAUAAAAGUUUGCUAUUGAUUGUGAAGAGAAAUAUUCACCUGAAAUGAAAUCAAAAUUCUU